rnacentral:rRNA from 1 species
ACGCUCGACACCUACGGGAGGCAGCAGUGGGGAAUAUUGCACAAUGGGGGAAACCCUGAUGCAGCGACGCCGCGUGAGUGAAGAAGUAUUUCGGUAUGUAAAGCUCUAUCAGCAGGGAAGAAAAUGACGGUACCUGAGUAAGAAGCCCCGGCUAACUACGUGCCAGUAGCCGCGGUAAUCUGAGCGGGCUGGCAAGGC